rnacentral:rRNA from 1 species
UCCUACGGGACGCAGCAGUCGAGAAUCAUUCACAAUGGGGGAAACCCUGAUGGUGCGACGCCGCGUGGGGGAAUGAAGGUCUUCGGAUUGUAAACCCCUGUCCUGUGGGAGCAAAUUAAAAAGAUAGUACCACAAGAGGAAGAGACGGCUAACUCUGUGCCAGCAGCCGCGGUAAUACAGAGGUCUCAAGCGUUGUUCGGAAUCACUGGGCGUCAAGCGUGCGUAGGCUGUUUCGUCAGUCGUGUGUGAAAGGCGCGGGCUCAACCCGCGGACGGCACAUGAUACUGCGUGCCUAGUGUAAUGGG